rnacentral:rRNA from 1 species
UACGUAGGGUGCAAGCGUUGUCCGGAAUUAUUGGGCGUAAAGAGCUCGUAGGCGGUUUGUCGCGUCGGCUGUGAAAACCUGGGGCUCAACCCCGGGCCUGCAGCCGAUACGGGCAAACUAGAAUUCGGUAGGGGAGACUGGAAUUCCUGGUGUAGCGGUGGAAUGCGCAGAUAUCAGGAGGAACACCGGUGGCGAAGGCGGGUCUCUGGGCAGUAACUGACGCUGAGGAGCGAAAGCGUGGGGAGCGAACAGG